rnacentral:lncRNA from 1 species
CACCAUGUUGGCGAUGCCGACGAUGUCGGGACGCUAAUGAGAAUACUGUUCUUCUAUACGUAUAUCCCUCUCGCUAGAGUUGACAUGUCACGAGAAGAAAAAAACAUCCCAAGAGAAACAUCUUCAAGAGUUAGCGCUGAGCAGCGCCCGUUAUCGCUGGUAUCUGCAGAAGCGAUACACUCUGUUGUUACACACCCCAAUCGACGUGGCUAGAAGAACCCUCCUGGCUCCAGGUCGCUCCCGCUCAGUCUUACUAUUGUACAAAGAAGUUCAUUGUACAAACGAUAACGUCAGAUCGAUUCCACAUCAUUGCAAGACCUGUUGCUUCGGUAGCAGUAGCUUAUCUCGCACAUCUUGCAAGUGAUGGUAUUGAGAGUAUCAUAUUACUCUUCGAGGGUUCAGCAUCUGCUACACUGACUGAUCCUAACAUUCUGGAGAUCGGAAAGAAAAGUACAUAGACCUUGCUGACCAAAAAUAUAGAAUUUAUCAUAAUCACCUUUGGAAAUGUCAUUAUCACGAACCCGGAACGUCUUGCGCUCCCCAGUAGGCGCUAUCUUUAGGUAUCGGAAUCCCGAUAACCUCCCAGCGAAAAAAUCAAAGCGACACGAUCAACUAUUCAAGGCAAUUGCCAGCGAGUCAAGAAAGCGAUCAUCAAUCUAUCGCAGCCUGAAUAGACCCCCCGGGCUGUACGGUACCCACACGGCUUGAACUCAAAUCAAAUCGUCAGCCACCUAUGCAAGACACCAGUUUACUUUCCACGACAGCUACUAAUCAU